UACGUAGGGGGCUAGCGUUGUCCGGAUUUACUGGGCGUAAAGGGCGCGCAGGCGGCUUUGUUUGUCAGGCGUGAAAGCCCCGGGCUUAACCUGGGAACUGCGUUUGAUACGGCAGGGCUAGAGUUCGGGAGAGGAGAGUGGAAUUCCCAGUGUAGAGGUGAAAUUCGUAGAUAUUGGGAAGAACACCGGUGGCGAAGGCGGCUCUCUGGACCGAGACUGACGCUGAGGCGCGAAAGCGUGGGGAGCAAACAGG
rnacentral:rRNA from 1 species